rnacentral:rRNA from 1 species
UUUUAUUUGAGUUUGAUGGUGGCUCUGAAUGAACGCUGUCCAAGUGCUUGACACAUGCUAAUCGAACGUCUAAUUUAACAAUGUGGCAUUAAGUCACCAAUUUAAUUAGAAGUGGUGUACAGGUGAGUAUCUAAUAUUUUGGCUGCCUUAAAGUAAGGUAAAAUACCUUAUAAAAAUAUGAAUAAGAAAGGAAGUAAAUUUCCGCUUUAAGAGGACAAUAAAUAUUUCGGAUAGGUAGUAGUUAAGGCAAUGACUUAACUAGCUUGAAAUUCCGUAGUCGAGACUGAGAGGUCGAUCGAUCACAUUGGGUCUGAAAAAACCCCAAUACGUAUAGUACAGCAGUGGGGAAUAUUGGUCAAUGGCCUAACGGCUGAACCAGCAACUUGGGGGAAUGUAUAGCUCCGGCUAACUAUAUUUAGUUUUUUACUAUAAUAAUAAAAAAUGUAAAUAUUUUAUAUAUUGAAAAAAUAUAGUAUCGAUUUUGUCGAAUAAAGUUCUAGAUAGAAUACUGAUUAUGACUAUUUUCUAUCUAUAUGUCUUGACCAAAUUACGUGCCAGCAGUCGCGGUAAUACGUAGAAGACUAGUGUUAUUCAUCUUUAAUAGGUUUAAAGGGUACCUAGACGGUAAAAUUAGUCUAAAAUAUGAUACGGUUUUACUAGAGUUAUAUAUAAGAAGGUGAGUAUUUAAGGAGUAGAGUUGAAAUUUAGUCAUACCUUAAGGACUGGUAAUGGCGAAAGCAACCUUUUAUCUAAUAACUGACGUUGAGGGACGAAGGCUCGGGUAGCGAACAGGAUUAGAUACCCUGGUAGUCCAAGCAGAAAAUUAUGAAUGCCAUAGAUUAGAAUAUUUUUAGUUUAUAAAUGAAAGUGCAAGCAUUCCACCUCAAGAGUAAUGUGGCAACGCAGGAACUGAAACCAUUAGACCGUUUCUGAAACCAGUAGUGAAGUAUGUUAUUUAAUUCGUCGUUACGCGAAAAACCUUACCACAAUUUGUAUAGUAUCCCUGAAAAGAUACUACAAGCGUUGCACGGUUGUCUUCAGUUAAUGUCGUGAGAUAUUGGUUAAUUCCAUUAAAUUAACGGAAACCCUUGCUUUAUUUGCAACCUUUGAAAUGAAGCAGUUCACCAGUAUAUCGGAAAUGAUAACAGGGACCAAGACAAAUCAUCAUGGCCUAAAUAUUGUGGGCUAUAGACGUGCCACAUAUUCCUGCUUCUUGAGCUAGGGCCUCAAGUCUGCGGGACAAACUAUCAAACUCCGGGGACACCCUAAAGCUUAUGGUACCAAGCUAUAGUUGAAAAACUAUAUGUGGCUGAAGUAAUUACUCAGACUUUUUUUACGGUUACGACUGUAAAAAUAAGGUAACAAGUCAUAAGAUGAUUGAAAAUGAAAUGGGUUAUCGCGGAUCUAAGUCAGUUACUAGUUUAAAUGUCCCGCAAGCCAUAAAUAAACUAGUAAUUGUAAAAGAGCAACGAGUAGACGGUAGUUGAUGCAUUAAAUCCGGAUACGGCUUGGCCCCUGCAGGCCAAGUAAUGCAUUUAAGGUGUACUCU